ensembl:ncRNA Y59A8B.36 ncRNA
UUGGUCUGCUAAAAAUUUGUGUAGUUUGUAGUCUAGCAGGCCCAAGUUAGGUUGGGUCUGCCAGACUACAAACUACAA